rnacentral:RNase_P_RNA from 13 species
AUUCAAACACAAAAAGAUGCAAAAAAAGAGAUAGGUACAAUUAAACAAAUCAAACUCAAUGCACAAGCAUAUGAUACUUCUUUCUCUUUCGUUCUCUCUCUUCUCCCCACCCUCUCUCUCUUUCCUUCUCUUCGAAAGGAGGAUAUAGAGAAGAGAAAGAAGGAAAGAGAGAAGUGGGAAGAGAAGAAUAGGGAAAGA